rnacentral:rRNA from 1 species
AUCCUGGCUCAGAUUGAACGCUGGCGGCAUGCUUUACACAUGCAAGUCGAACGGUAACAGGGACUUCAGUCUGCUGACGAGUGGCGAACGGGUGAGUAACAUAUCGGAACGUGCCCAGUAAUGGGGGAUAGCUCGGCGAAAGCCGGAUUAAUACCGCAUACGCCCUGAGGGGGAAAGUGGGGGAUCUUCGGACCUCACGUUAUUGGAGCGGCCGAUAUCAGAUUAGCUAGUUGGUGGGGUAAAGGCCUACCAAGGCGACGAUCUGUAGCUGGUCUGAGAGGAUGAUCAGCCACACUGGGACUGAGACACGGCCCAGACUCCUACGGGAGGCAGCAGUGGGGAAUUUUGGACAAUGGGCGAAAGCCUGAUCCAGCCAUGCCGCGUGAGUGAAGAAGGCCUUCGGGUUGUAAAGCUCUUUCAAUCGUGAAGAAAAGUUGCAGGCUAAUACCCUGUGACCUUGACGUUAACGAUACAAGAAGCACCGGCUAACUCCGUG